rnacentral:rRNA from 1 species
AAUUGAAGAGUUUGAUUCUGGCUCAGGACAAACGCUGGCGGCGUACCUAAUACAUGCAAGUCGAACGAGGAAAGCCUUUCGGGGCGAGUAUGAGUGGCGCACGGGUGAGUAACACGUGGAUAAUCUGCCCUCUGGUGGGGGACAACCAGCCGAAAGGCUGGCUAAUACCGCAUAAUAUCUUUUUGUCUUCGGACUUUAAGAUUAAAGAUUUAUCGCCAGAGGAUGAGUUUGCGUUGGAUUAGCUUGAUGGUGGGGUAAAGGCCUACCAUGGCGACGAUCCAUAGCUGGUCUGAGAGGAUGACCAGUCACACUGGAACUGAGACACGGUCCAGACUCCUACGGGAGGCAGCAGUAGGGAAUAUUGCACAAUGGGGGAAACCCUGAUGCAGUGACGCCGCGUGAGUGAUGAAGGCUUUUGGGUCGUAAAACUCUGUUCUUAGGGAAUAAAAAAAUGAAGGUACCUAAGAAGAAAGGACUGGCUAACUUCGUGCCAGCAGCCGCGGUAAUACGAGGGGUCCAAGCGUUGUUCGGAAUCAUUGGGCGUAAAGCGGGUGUAGGCGGUUUAAUAAGUCAGAAGUGAAAGCCCUGGGCUCAACCCAGGAAGUGCUUUUGAAACUGUUAGACUUGAGUAUGAGAGAGGAUGGUGGAAUUCCUGGUGUAGCGGUGAAAUGCGUAGAUAUCAGGAGGAACAUCGGUGGCGAAGGCGGCCAUCUGGCUCAUUACUGACGCUGAGACCCGAAAGCGUGGGUAGCAAACAGGAUUAGAUACCCUGGUAGUCCACGCCGUAAACGAUGAACACUUGGUGUUGGUGGUGUUUGACCCCAUCAGUGCCGGAGCUAACGCGUUAAGUGUUCCGCCUGGGGAGUACGGUCGCAAGAUUAAAACUCAAAGAAAUUGACGGGGGCCCGCACAAGCGGUGGAGCAUGUGGUUUAAUUCGAUGCAACGCGAAAAACCUUACCUGGCCUUGACAUAUAGAGGACGACUUCCAGAAAUGGAGUUUUCUUCGGACCUCUAUACAGGUGCUGCAUGGCUGUCGUCAGCUCGUGUCGUGAGAUGUUGGGUUAAGUCCCGCAACGAGCGCAACCCUUGUCUUUAGUUGCCAGCAUUUAGUUGGGCACUCUAAAGAGACUGCCGGCGUUAAGUCGGAGGAAGGUGGGGAUGACGUCAAGUCCUCAUGGCCCUUAUGGCCAGGGCUACACACGUGCUACAAUGGACGAUACAAAAAGAAGCGAGACCGCGAGGUUUAGCAAAUCUAAUAAAUUCGUUCUCAGUUCGGAUUGGAGUCUGCAACUCGACUCCAUGAAGUUGGAAUCGCUAGUAAUCGCGGAUCAGCAUGCCGCGGUGAAUACGUUCUCGGGCCUUGUACACACCGCCCGUCACACCAUGAAAGUUGGUUACACCAGAAGUCGCCGAGCUAACCUUCGGGAGGCAAGCGCCCAAGGUGUGAUUGAUGAUUGGGGUGAAGUCGUAACAAGGUAGCCGUAGGGGAACCUGCGGCUGGAUCACCUCCUUUUUAA